CACGUAGGGGGCAAGCGUUGUCCGGAUUUAUUGGGCGUAAAGAGCUCGUAGGCGGUUUCGUAAGUCGGGUGUGAAAACUCUAGGCUCAACCUAGAGACGCCACCCGAUACUGCGAUGACUAGAGUCCGGUAGGGGAGUGUGGAAUUCCUGGUGUAGCGGUGAAAUGCGCAGAUAUCAGGAGGAACACCAACGGCGAAGGCAGCACUCUGGGCCGGAACUGACGCUGAGGAGCGAAAGCAUGGGGAGCGAACAGG
rnacentral:rRNA from 1 species